CCUACGGGAGGCAGCAGUAGGGAAUCUUUCACAAUGGGCGAAAGCCUGAUGGAGCAACGCCGCGUGCAGGAUGAAGGCCUUCGGGUUGUAAACUGCUUUUAUAAGCGAGAAAUAUGAUGGUAACUUAUUAAUAAUGAACGGCUAACUACGUGCCAGCAGCCGCGGUCAUACGUAGGAUCCGAGCAUUAUCCGGAGUGACUGGGUGUAAAGAGUUUCGUAGGUGGCAUAAUAAGUAGCUAGUGAAAUCUGGUGGGUCAACCAUUCAGACUAUUAGCGAAACUGUUAAGCUCGAGACUGUUAGGGGUAAGUGGAAUUUCUAGUGUAGGAGUGAAAUCCGUAGAUAUUAGAAGGAACACCGAUAGCGUAGGCAGGUUACUGGGACGGUUCUGACACUAAGGCACGAAAGCGUAGGGAGCAAACGGGAUUAGAUACCCUUGUAGUC
rnacentral:rRNA from 1 species